rnacentral:misc_RNA from 1 species
AAGUCGUAACAAGGUUUCCGUAGGUGAACCUGCGGAAGGAUCCGUAACGAAAUGCAAACCAUUGCAUUAACCAAACUGUGCUCUAUUUUAUAAUGAAAACAUUUGAGGAUUCAUUUUAGCUGAUAAAUUGUCAGUUUCUAUGAAGAAUCAAAUUGUUGGAAAAUGUGGCAUACACAUUUCAAUUUUAUUGAAUGAUUUUUAUUUGGAACUGAUCUAGGCUUUCUAGGUUUUGUUAGGUGACAAGCCCGACAUACCUUAAGCCGCUAUAAGAUUGUCAUGAACAAUCAGUACAACACUAGCCGACGGAGACCUUGGCUCCC